rnacentral:piRNA from 1 species
UGGCGGGAUGAGGCGGAGUUUGGCAG